CCGGGGCGGGGCGGGGAGAGGCGGGCGGCGGCGGCGGCUCCUCGGGGGCUGGCACCGAGCGGAGCGGCCGCUGGCCACGGCGGAGCGAUGAUCCGCAGGGAAGACACUGAACGGGCAGUGGAAAUUCUGACCAGAUACCAAAGCACCCUGCAGUCCCCGGAGGAGCAGGAGCUAAAAGCUUCCAUUGGAAAAGUCUCGCACAUCUUCCAAAGUGAACUCUUCCAGGCUCUGCUGGAUAUCCAUGAAUUCUACGACUUCACGCUGCGCUCCGCGCCCCUGCAGCCCCCCGGCCCAGACACGCACCAUGGCACUGCUCGGCAGCAGCAUGGGGCCGGCUCUGCCAUCCCACCCGCAGAGCCCCAGCACUCACCUGAGGACCCGUGCCGGGACGGCGAGCAGAGGCUCCCCGCAGGAGCUGGGGGCAGCGCACCGGGGACGCCGCCGCGGCUGGUGAGGGUGACGGCACGGAGGACGGCGGCACCGGCCAGCGUGUGCAGCCUGGUGCUCAGCUCCCGCAGCGCCCUGCCCCAGGUUCUGGGCACAUCUCAUUGAUGGAGCAACUCUAAGGUAUCACGAGGUGAGAGACAGCGGGCAGCCAAGGUGGACUUUUACUCUCAUGCAGGAGACACUGGCCACCUGCACGUUCCUACAAGGCUUAUUGCUCUGCUUUGGUGCAGCAAUCCCCUAGUUCAGCUUCACCCCGGCCCUCCCCUCCUUCCCACUUCUGCCCUCGCUGCUGCAAGAUGCCCCCUCUGCACGAGUGACAUCCCCCACCACCCUGGUCCUCCCUGGCUGUUGAGGAGGUUCAGCAUCUCACCUGAGCACAGGACCCUCCUGCAGGGCCAGCACCAUGUGCUCUGGGAGAUGGCACAAGCAGCAGGAGAAGAUGUGGAGAUGAUCCUCGUUUCUUAAAGCCUGAAGCAUAAAGCUCUCUGUUAAUGCCAGCGCUGCAUGUUUUCCUUCUGUGCACACAAACACGGUUUUUCAUUGAUUAAAAUAACUCUGAAGAAGCUCUCUUUGCAUGCAGGCAUCCAAUCCUUCCCUGCCUUAGUGAGCUCCUGGGGUCUGCAGCAUCCUGUGGCACUGAGCUGUUCAGGGCAGAAGCACUUUCUUAUACACAGCUUUUGGCUUCAUCUUGCCACAUCUCUGGGUCUUUGGGUCAGUGCCACAGUGUACACGGGUCCCGUAGCUGACUGUUCAUCAGUGGGAGCCCCUGGGAGUGCAGGAUGAGACUCACCAAAGGAGCUUCAAGGCCAGCAUGGUGAGGACAGGUUCUCUAGACUUGCUCAUCAGGGCACAUUGUGACUGUCCUAUCUUGCAUCUGGGGGAAUCUCAGUGUAGUGUAGCUGAGCUGCUCCAUGGCAUUGAGCACAGAGCACCUAUCCCGUGGUGGAGGUACCCUGAGCAGCCCAGAGGCAGUGAAGCACCGGCUGUGCUGCAGAGGAUGGGCUCUGAGCCGUGCAGCGGAGACCAUGGGGCUUGGGGACGUGGGAUGAUGGGGUGUCUUCUGCCCCCUCCCCUCUGCCCAGAACUCACCAUUUCACUUGGCUGCUUGGGAGCAAACAGUGCAGGAGCACCUCUGUCUGUGGUGGGCAAGUGCAGAAGUGAUUUGGCAUUGCAG
rnacentral:lncRNA from 1 species